rnacentral:miRNA from 1 species
CUAUACAGUCUAUUGCCUUCCC